rnacentral:RNase_P_RNA from 2 species
UAUUUAUGUUCGAUGGUCGCCUUUUUGCACUUAUGUGCGAAGGGGAGGAAAGUCCGGACAUACCCGCGCUUGGCGCGGAGUAGGGUAGCAGGUAAUACCUGUCGUGGGUAACCACAGGGAUGCGAGCAGAGACGCUGAUGCCGAGAGGCUAGGGUUCCUUCGGGAAUAGUUUCGUCGAAAGGCGGAAGUGAAACGGCAAAAUUCCUACUCGUAUGCAAGGCCGUAUCUUUGUGUGAUUCAUAUGAGCACACAAAUUUGAGCCGCAAGAGGUGGCUGGCGACAGUCAUCCUAGGUAUAUGACCAUCGUCCAGCCCUGCUUUUGCCAGCAGUUUCGCACAAAAUCACCAACACGUGGUAUGGCAAAAGCAGGGCUGGAUCACAAAAUCCGGCUUAUGAACAAACAAAACCC